CCUUCGAUAGCUCAGUUGGUAGAGCGGUGGACUGUAGUCGUAUGUGUAGGAAAUCCAUAGGUCGCUGGUUCGAAUCCGGCUCGAAGGA
rnacentral:tRNA from 1 species